AACUCACCAACACCAUCCCUCACCUCCACUUUAUCUUUCUCCCAGGAGAUGACUUCUCUAUAUGUCACUAAUUCUUUCUCCUAAUAUUUUCCUACUUUUUUUCACUCUGUCUCCCCUGAUAGUAAACUUUAUGAGGGCACUGUUGUUGUCCAUCCUACUCGCUGCUAUUUCCCCAGUUCAGUGCCUCACCCAUAGUAGCUGCUCAAUAAAUGUUCCUUCUUUUUUUUCCUUCAUUUUUUGGCCGGCCCACGGCCUAUGGAGUUCCCGGGCCAAGGAUCAGAUCCGAGCUGCAGCUGCAUGGCAACGCCGGAUCCUUAAUCCACUGUGCUGGGCUGGGGAUCGAACCUGCAUCCCAGCGCUCCCAAGACUCUGCCGAUCCUGUUGCACCACAGCAGGAACUCCUCAAUAAAUGUUCUUUAAAUGUAUUAUCUUGUGAGGUAGUCUGGGUUGGAGGACAUGGAGCCAUGACCAGGGGGAACAGGGGUGCUGGCUGAAGGAGGAGGCUGAGGUGGGGGCAUCUCCCAGGAGCCUUGACCUCACUCUAGGUUCUGGGCUCCCAGGGUGGAUGGUGAAACACUGGCCAGCUGAUACCCACUGCCUGGGACACUCCUGAUGGAGCCCCAGUCCCUGACAUUGACCUAGGAUGUUGCCGCUCCGGCCCAGCCAGCCUUCCAGCUGUGCUCUCUGAUUCUGAAGCCACUGCUCCCACCUUAGGGCUUCAAAUGCUGGGUCUACAGUGGGAACCAUCAUGGAACCUUGGGAGACAGCCAGAGGAUGUCACAUGAAGAGAAGCACAGCGGGGAGAGGAGAGGAGGUUGGGGAUGUCACCUCACCUGCCUCUACAUUCUCUCCUCCACGCCUCUGCCCAAGCUGUUCUCCCUGCCUGAAGCACCUUUCACAUCCCUCUCUGCAAGCUCCAGGCCACCUGGGAUUCCAGCCUCCUCCAGGAAGCCUUCUCGGAUGCCCUCCUCCCCAGCCAGUGAGCAACUUAACCUCUUCUGGGCCCCCACCAGACCCCUCUACUGUGAACAGCCUUGGCUAGGGGUGCGGCCAGACACUCAUGAAAUCUCAGAUGACUAGAGGAGACUGGGGAACCCCAACCCUCUCUCAGUGCUUGAGGGUCACACUGGGCCCCUCCCCCAACCUAAUCACCCAUUGUACCCGUGCUGCCCCUGCCCUACCCCCUGCGACAAUGACUGUCAGGUUAAAUCCCAGAGCUGCGGCCCCUGCACGGGGUCUUCUGGCUGUGUCUGAAGGGCUCUGGAUGAGUGGGUGGGGAUUGGAGGGGGUGGUCUGUGCCUGGCAGAGAGCUGAGACAUUGAUGCUAAUCGUGGGAUUAUUCCAGGCAGUGUGUUGUAGAAAUUCUGGGUACAAGACCCUCCAGAUGGAACGCUGGGCCUCAGCUGGAUUUUUGAUCUGUGGCCACGAGGCGUUGGAUCCUCUAAGCAGACCCCAGGGGUGGGGGCACUGGGCCUGCCAGUGCCCUCCAGGUGUUGGUGUCACAGGGCAGAGCCUGGGGAGCCUGGGAAGAAAUAAUGUUUUAAUUAAGAGUCGUGUUGGCCGCAGGGCCCGGAGCGGGGACAGGUGGAUAAUAAAUCGUGGCUGCGGGGAGACCCAGGCCCAGACCGUGUGUUUACCUAUCAUGGGGUGGGGAGGGCACCAGCCUGCCAGACUCUGCUCACCUCCCCUCAGCAGAGCCUCUCUGGGCUGGCAUCUGUCCUCCUGGGGCCAAGUAGCCUAGACCCCUGCUCCUGCCUGGUUUUGGCCUCGGGGGUCCCUGGACCACAUGCAAAUAACUAAUCUACAGGCCCUGGGACUCCCCUGUUUGCACAAUCCCCUGCAAACCCUGGGGACCUGCCUCCUAGGGCCCAACAGGAGAGUUGGGUUUGUAAUAGUCACCACAGCUCCAUUCCUGGGCUCCCACUACACUGCCAGGGCCUGGGCAACAUCCUUGCCUGGCCUUGAGUUGCACUGGUCUGCCAACUGAGAGGCUUGGUGAUGGUGGUGAUGAUUGCUGCCCAUUUUACAGAUGGGGUGUCCAAGGUCAUCCCCCCCUCUUUUGGGCUACUUCCUCUGCAGCCCCCUAAUUGAGGGAUCCCAGUCCAUUCAGCAGAGGUCUAUGAUGGAGGAAAAGAGAGGAUUUCUUGCUUCUUGGCUGAGGUGGGGGUGGGAGAAAGCAUUUUCAGGCCGUUUUGACAUUUAACAAACACUAUGCAAAUCGCAUGCAAAUCACAUGCAAAUCAUCACCCAUUUCUUAAACCUCGACAGCUCCAGCGUGUUCUGAAAUAAUAAUGUUGGACCUGUCCCUUGGCGUUGGCCUCGAGGAGGGGUACAAAGCCUUCCUUUCCUUCCCUCCUUUCUUCCUUCCCCUUCCCUUCCCUCUGUUUCCUUUCUUCCUUCCUUUCCUUCCAUCCCUACCUUCCUUUUUUUCUGUUAUCUCUUUACUCCCUUUACAUUAUUUGUUGAAGGCCUCCCAGUUCUGAGAUGAAUACAAAUAGCAAAAGUGGCUUCUGUAGUUCCCGCUUUCCAAAUGGGGAAACAGACACAGAGAAGCACAAGCCUGGCCUGAGAUUCCACAACCACAUUGUGGAAAGCGUCCCCCACCAAGUGCUGUUGUGGACCAACACUGGAUGGUAACUGUGACCUUAGGUGGAGAGACAACAGUGGCUGGAGCAAGCUUAACAGGGCUCGGAGGAACCAAGGAAAAUUGUCCUUGGGUUUCUUGGCCUUGAAGGGCAGGCUGCCAGGCUUGGAUCUGGAGAAAUCUGACCUUGACGGGUCUUACUCCUCAAGUCUUUCUUUCUCCAGCUACUCCAUCAGCAAACUCUGAAUUUGGCCCACAACCUCUCUGCUUAGUUUGCAUGCCCUACUUUUUCUGUUCGCAAACUCCUAUUCAUCCUUUGAAGCCCUAGCUCCAAUGCCCCCUUCUUUAUGCAGCCAUCUCUGAUCCUCCAAGAAGAGCUGCCACUUCUCUUUGGGCUUCUGUUGCUCCAGAUCUCUCUCUCUCUCUCUGAUCCAGGGCUGACCCUUUUGGUCCAGGGCUGCCCACUCUGGCUUGAUUCCAGCACUUGUCUGAUUAUUAUACACCUUGAAACUUGUAUUCUAAACCUAGAUCUUUUCUGAUCUUUUUCACCUGGCCUACUCCUACAUUUUCAAGGUCUGGCACUAAUGCCCACCUCUGUGUAAACUGUACAGCUCUCUCCUAGUUGGCUUCUGGGUCUACAGCCUCCAGCUCUCCUGGCUUGUUUCUGACCCAUGGAACGGGGAGGUGUGUGUGUCCUUCAAGUCUUAGGACUUGCCUCUGCAGCCCCAGGAUCAUCCAGGUUGGGACUGGGUACAGAGGGACUGAGUUGGAGUGUCUAUGAAUAAAUGAUUAAGUGUCUGGAAACAAAGCCAAGUUCACUCCCUAACUUGGCCUUGGGCUUCACUCUCCAUGACAGUUCAGCCCUAAGUGUGCCCUUCGCCCUUCCCUCUCCCUCACCUCCAGGCUUCUGUACCUCUGCCAGGAAUGGUUUUCCCUUGACUCCUAUUUUGGGGGACCCCAAGCCAGCCCUUUCCCAUUUCUGGCCUGUGAAAAGGGGAGAAGCCCGCCCCCCUCAUGGCCUCUCACGAUCCUGACUCCACCCCAGGAGCAAGUCUGGGCUGCAAGGAGUUUCGGGUGAGACUUGGCAGCCACCCUCUCUCGCUGAGGCCUGCAGCGUCUGGGGAGGGGCCACCUCCCGCCUUGGCUGCCCACUGACUUUGUGCUCCCAGAAGUUCCGUGGGAGUUGUCCUGGGGGGAAAUAAAUCCAGGCGGGUCCCAGAGGAGGCAUCUAGGGCUCAGCCAGAAACUAUAGGCACCUGGACUUCCUGCUUUAGUUCUGCUCUGCACUCCCCCGACCCCCAUCCCCAGGACUCCAGGCUGGAUUCUGGUGUUUGCUAACUCUGUCCAUUAGCCCAACAGGCAUUUAUUGAGUGCCCUCUGUGUACCCAGUUCUGGCUGCCAGAUAUACUAAGACAGAUCCUGCGUUUGGCUGCCAUAGAUGGUGGAGCCAGUUGUUCACUGCACAAAAGCAUCCAGCUGAGGAAUUCCUGUCGUGGUGCAGUGGAAAUGAAUCUGACUAGGAACCAUGAGGUUGCGGAUUUGAUCCCUAGCCUCGCUAAGUGGGUUAAGGAUCCGGUGUUGCCGUGAGCUGUGGUGUAAGUUGCAGACAUGGCUCGGAUACUGUGUUGCUGUGGCUGUGGUGUAGGCCGGUGGCUACAGCUCCAAUUCAACCCCUAGCCUGAGAACCUCCAUAUGCUGCAGGUGUGGCCUUAAAAGGACAAAAGACAAAAAAAAAAAAAAAAAAAAAAGCAUCCAGCUGGGGUGAGAGGAAGGGGGAAGGGGAAUCUUUUUGUAAUUCACACAGUCUCCUAUACAAGUUAGUGGUGGUCCUGACCUUGUUGCCUCUCUUUCUCUCUUUGUCUUCAUCUGUCUGUGUGUCCCACUUAGUCACUUUUUCACAUAUCUGCCCCCCCAUCUAUUACUCUGUGUGCUCCCUGCUUUUUUCCCCACACCCACGGCAUGCAGAAGUUUUGGGACCAGGGAUCAAACUCCCACCACCGCAGUGACCUGUGCCACAGCAGUGACAAUGCUAGAUCCUUAACCAUUAGGCCACCAGGGAACUCCAAUCUGUCUGUGUCUCUUGAACUCUGCUGCUCUACUCUCUCUACCUCUCCCUCUGUCUCUUUUUUCCUCCCUGUCUCUGGCAGUUUCUCUCUCUCCCUGUCUCUUUCUUUCUCUCCAUACCCCUGUAUCUGUCUCUCAUAUCCCCUCUCCAAAAGGAUACCCUUUUCCUCCAAUUUGCAGGACACUGAGGUGACCAGGACAUACACAGCAUGGCACUCAUGGUGACCAAGACACACACAGCUCUUGGCACUCAUGGGGCUUGAGGUCCAGCAGAAGAGACAGAAGUUGCAGGGUGGGGCUGCUCUUGGGAUCCUGGAAACCCCCCCUCUCUGGGCCUCCGUUUGCCCACCUACCCAACUAGGGAGGUUUUUAGGGUGGCCGGGUCAGGAGCUGCUUGCUUGGCCUAGGCUGUUUGUUGGCAGAGAGAUUCUGACUCAUCCCCACGCCCAAAUGGUUUGAAAGAAUCCUCCCAGGGGAAAACAGUUGUAAGAAAAAACAAAACACAAAAUCAGAGUCACCAGCCCAGGCUGCUGUCUGACUCAAUGAGGGGUGAAAGUAUCCACAUUGCCAUCCCCCAGAUCAUCAGAGAAAUUUCCUGCCUCUUCCCCUGAUGGCCCCUGGCUGUCUACUGAAGGCUUCUGGCAUCACAAUGAUGACUCCAGGCCUGGCACUGGCCUCACACUUGUGCUCUGAGCUCCAGACCCACUUCACCCUGUGCCAGGGCCACAAGUGGAAGAAACUCUUUCCAGCCACAGGGCCUUUGCGUGUACUCUUUCUACCUCUGGAGGACUCUCUCCCCACCCCUCAUCUUUCAUCCUCUGAUUUUCAGGUUCAAUGUCACUUCCUUCAGGAGGCUCUAAACAAUCACAUUCCCUUGAUUUUGCAUUCACUCAUUAUCCUGUGAUUUUCCUUUGUAGCAUUAAUUAUUUAUAUUAUUAUUCAUUCAGUGUAUUAUUUUUCCUACUAGCCUCUGGGCACCAUGAAGGCUGGACGAGGUCUGGUCUGGUCACUGCUGGAUCACGCAGCACUUAAUAACCCAGAGUAAGAGAGUGGUAGCCAGAAACACCCUCCCUUCCCAGGCUCAAUGAGGACCCGCUGCCCCAGUUGUUGUCACUCCCGUGUCCAGCUCCAGGUGGCUGCAGGGCGCAGAGGCUUAGGAUUGGGAUUCCGGGCACUCUGGCUCCUGCCGCUUUGAUAAAUGGGGGAAAUUCAGAAUUAAUUAUUGACUGCUACACCGAACCAGCCUGAUCUGGACAGAUAAAGAGUGUCCUCACUGCUGCGUCUGUCCAAUAGUUCUAGGGAGUUUAUUAGAGGUCGGAAGGCAGCUGGCUGAGGGGACAGGUCCAGAAAGCACUGGAGCCAGAUGGAGCUGGGUGCAAAGGCUGGCUCUGCUGGGCCACUUUGGGCCAUCGACUUUCCCUCUCUGAGCCUCGGUUUUCUCAUUUGGACAAAGGGAAGAGAAAACAUCCUUGUCUGUUGGGACAAAUUUGUUGGGGGAAUCACUUUGAGUUAAUAGAGUGUGCACACAGUGGGUAUCCAAUAAAUGUUGCUGAAUUGG
ensembl:lncRNA